rnacentral:rRNA from 1 species
AAUCAACGCUGGCGGCAUGCCUAACACAUGCAAGUCGAGCGAGAAAGUGUAGCAAUACAUGAGUACAGCGGCGCACGGGUGAGUAACACGUGGAUAACCUGCCUCAAAGUGGGGAACAACACCGGGAAACCGGUGCUAAUACCGCAUAUUCUGACGAGGUCUGCGGAUUUCGUCAGGAAAGGAGCAAUUCGCUAUGAGAGGGGUCCGCGGCUGAUUAGCUAGUUGGUGAGGUAAUGGCUCACCAAGGCCACGAUCAGUAGCCGGUCUGAGAGGACGGUCGGCCACACUGGAACUGAGACACGGUCCAGACUCCUACGGGAGGCAGCAGUGGGGAAUUUUUCGCAAUGGGGGCAACCCUGACGAAGCAAUGCCGCGUGGAUGAUGAAGUCUCUUGGGACGUAAAAUCCUUUCGACAGGGACGAAACCGCAAGGUUGACGGUACCUGUAGAAGAAGCCCCGGCUAACUCCGUGCCAGCAGCCGCGGUAAUAC